rnacentral:rRNA from 1 species
UACGAGGGGGGCAAGCGUUGUUCGGAAUUAUUGGGCGUAAAGGGCGCGUAGGCGGCCCGCUAAGUCGAACGUGAAAUCCCUGGGCUCAACCCAGGAACUGCGUCCGAUACUGGCAGGCUUGAAUCCGGGAGAGGGAUGUGGAAUUCCAGGUGUAGCGGUGAAAUGCGUAGAUAUCUGGAGGAACACCGGUGGCGAAGGCGGCAUCCUGGACCGGUAUUGACGCUGAUGCGCGAAAGCCAGGGGAGCAAACGGG